rnacentral:rRNA from 1 species
GACGAACGCUGGCGGCGUGCCUAACACAUGCAAGUCGAACGAAGAGCGAUGGAAGCUUGCUUCUAUCAAUCUUAGUGGCGAACGGGUGAGUAACGCGUAAUCAACCUGCCCUUCAGAGGGGGACAACAGUUGGAAACGACUGCUAAUACCGCAUACGAUCUAACCUCGGCAUCGAGGAUAGAUGAAAGGUGGCCUCUACAUGUAAGCUAUCACUGAAGGAGGGGAUUGCGUCUGAUUAGCUAGUUGGAGGGGUAACGGCCCACCAAGGCGAUGAUCAGUAGCCGGUCUGAGAGGAUGAACGGCCACAUUGGGACUGAGACACGGCCCAGACUCCUACGGGAGGCAGCAGUGGGGAAUCUUCCGCAAUGGACGAAAGUCUGACGGAGCAACGCCGCGUGAGUGAUGACGGCCUUCGGGUUGUAAAGCUCUGUUAAUCGGGACGAAAGGCCUUCUUGCGAAUAGUUAGAAGGAUUGACGGUACCGGAAUAGAAAGCCACGGCUA